rfam:Phaseolus vulgaris cultivar G19833 chromosome 8, whole genome shotgun sequence.
UUCAACUGUGAUGAGUCUACAGACCUGUAAUGAUUUGCGGCUAUGAUCGCAAACAUAAUUGAACAUCUAAGGGACUGAGUUGUU